AUGGUGGAUGGAUUUUGCCAUGCCAGCCUUGAAGACAAGAGUCUGAAGGCGCCUUGCAAGGAAGUUCUCAGCAGUCAGGGCAAGGACGUAAUCAAGCUUAUCCUGGCCCUCAGCAAGGAGACCAUAGCGGUUCAUGCGACGGAGAAGGGCCGCGCCCUCAAAGAUACGGCGGGGAUUUUUCUCAUCCAGUGUGAGCAAGUGUCUUGCAGCAUUACGAAUCCUGCUCAGUGCAUACUGAACCCUCCAGAGCUCACGCUUGCACCUCAGUCCAUAUUCACCGACCAGCUUUAG
rnacentral:rRNA from 1 species